CCCUCCUACAAAGGCGUGUCUGUGGUUUCCUGUCUUUGGACACGUAAGAAUUGGAGGCAAAGAAAUAUGGACUUGGAGACGUCUGGGGCCAGCUUGCUCCCUGCAGGCUCUAGUUCAACCAUCCUACAUAG
rnacentral:snoRNA from 9 species